rnacentral:rRNA from 1 species
ACUCUAAUUGUUACGACGGCAAUGUCUAGACCAUGGAUUGUCAUGCACCUGACGCAUGCGUAGUCUCUAGAUUGACCUUGAGAUAGAGGCAGUGCUCAGGAUUACUAGAUAGCUGCUAUCGUCAGCAGCGGUAUCGAGAUGCGCGUAUCGAUAUGUGACGUGUAGCGCUGUAAGUCAGCGUGAAAUCUAGAGCUACCUAAAUUGCCAUUGAUACUGGCGGCUUGAGUGUAGAUGAGUAGGCGAAUGCGUUGUGUAGCGUGAAAUGCAUAGAUAUCACGCAGAACUCCGAUGCGAGGCAGCUUACUAAGGUACAACUGACGCUGAAGCACGAAAGCGUGGGUAUCAACAGGAUUAGAUACCCUUGUAGUCCACGCAGUAAACGAUGAUACUGGGCGUAUGCGAUAUACAGUAUGCUCUAAGCGAAAGCGUUAAGUUAUCCACCUGGGAAGUACGCCGGCAACGGUGAAACUCAAAGGAAUUGACGGGGGCCCGCACAAGCGGAGGAACAUGUGGUUUAAUUCGAUGAUACGCGAGGAACCUUACCCGGGAUUGAAAUGUAGGAUGACCGCCGGGGAAAGUCGGCUUCCCUUCGGGGCAUCUAUGUAGGUGCUGCAUGGUUGUCGUCAGCUCGUGCCGUGAGGUUUCGGCUUAAGUGCCAUAACGAGCGCAACCCCUGUCUACGGUUGCCAUCAGGUAAUGCUGGGAACUCCGUAGAGACUGCCGUCGUAAGGCGUGAGGAAGGUGGGGAUGACGUCAAAUCAGCACGGCCCUUACAUCCGGGGCGACACACGUGUUACAAUGGUGGGGACAAAGGGCAGCUACCUGGCGACAGGAUGCGAAUCUCCAAACCCCAUCACAGUUCGGAUCGGAGUCUGCAACUCGACUCCGUGAAGCUGGAUUCGCUAGUAAUCGCGCAUCAGCCAUGGCGCGGUGAAUACGUUCCCGGGCCUUGUACACACCGCCCGUCAAGCCAUGGGAGUCUGGAGUACCUAAAGUCCGUAACCGCGAGGGUCGGCCUAGGGUAAUACAGGUGACUGGGGCUAAGUCGUAACAAGGUAGCCGUACCGGAAGGUGCGGCUGGAACACCUCCUUC